GUAGGGAAUAUUGGGCAAUGGUCGGAAGACUGACCCAGCCAUGCCGCGUGCAGGAAGACGGCCCUCUGGGUUGUAAACUGCUUUUAUCUGGGAAGAAAAAGGCCAUGCGUGGCAAAUUGCCGGUACCAGAUGAAUAAGCACCGGCUAACUCCGUGCCAGCAGCCGCGGUAAUACGGAGGGUGCGAGCGUUGUCCGGAUUUAUUGGGUUUAAAGGGUGCGUAGGCGGCUGAUUAAGUCAGCGGUGAAAGACUUGGGCUUAACCGGAGCAGUGCCGUUGAUACUGGUUGGCUUGAGUGUCGGAGGGGUACAUGGAAUUGAUGGUGUAGCGGUGAAAUGCAUAGAUACCAUCAGGAACACCGAUAGCGAAGGCAUUGUACUGGCCGACAACUGACGCUGAUGCACGAAAGUGUGGGGAUCGAACAGGAUUAGAUACCCUAGUAGUCC
rnacentral:rRNA from 1 species